AGAUAUGAUCUUCAAACAAUUUGUUCUUUACUGACAAUAGGUAAGUAUAUCUUAAACUCUUUGAGUUAAUUUCACAAGGUACAAUUUCAAUUUUUUUUUCCCAAAUCAAAUCAUUUUCCCAUGGCCACCAAGGAAGGAAAAUGAGUGAUAACUUGAAAAAGGAGAAAAAGAGGGGAAAAACUUUAACUGCUUGAUGAUUCAACACCCUAUGGAUAUUGGACCGACCCCUUGCUUGUCAAACUCCUUUGUGUAAUAGUUGUUCAUAUAACUAAAUCCUCUCAAAUUAAGCUGGGUCUCUGCAGCGAGAUUAUUUGCAGAUCACCACGCAUAAACUCUCAAACAUUUAAUUUUGGAUAUAAGCAACAAAAAACAAAAAGGGAAGAAAUUCAGACAUAAGCACCUCUUAACUUCUUAUUAAACCAAUUACCAAUCAAUGUUUAAAAUUCAAAACAGAAAAAUAGAAGAGCGUGGUUACACCCAGAAUACCCAAAAUAAUAUAAGAAGAGCAUUUGAUAAGUGAAAUAAAAAAAAAAACCUUAAAUAAUACUAACCGAAGUCUUAACAACACCCAUUAAAGGCUGAGAACUGUUAUUAUAUGGGGCCAGGGACCAC
rnacentral:lncRNA from 1 species